UUUAAUGCUCAAAAUUUUGUUAAUAUCAUGUAUCGAUUAUCAUAAUUUUCUAUAAACGAUUCUGCAUUUCAAUUAUUGAGCAGGUAAACAAUCGAUUGUUUUGUAGAAGAGGAUAUUUGCAUCUACGGGUGCAAUUUUUACUCAAAAGAAUAAACAACAAAAUCCUAUUGUCUUGGUAAGAAGUCCAUACAAAUGUGAUUUAUUCCGACUAAUGUCUACAAAGGGGGCAAAUUCAGAACUCUCUUCAAAUGGGUGCUAAUCUUAAGUUUGGUGAUCAAAUACCUGUUGUUAAGGUUAUAUACUUAUAUUUAUUGCAUCCUUUGUUAUUCUUCAUAACAACUAGACCUACUUUGUGAUUGUGUUUUUAUUUCAUUUUUGCUCUCUUAAAAUGUUACUCCCUAUGAUCAUAGAAAAGUAUCGGCCUACUGGGGUUAGCUUAAGCAUAAAUCUCAAUGUUCAGAUGAAAAUUUUAUGGUUGCUUA